rnacentral:rRNA from 1 species
GAUGAACGCUGGCGGCGUGCCUAAUACAUGCAAGUCGAGCGAACGGACGAGAAGCUUGCUUCUCUGAUGUUAGCGGCGUACGGGUGAGUAACACGUGGAUAACCUACCUAUAAGACUGGGAUAACUUCGGGAAACCGUAGCUAAUACCGGAUAAUAUUUUGAACCGCAUGGUUCAAAAGUGAAAGACGGUCUUGCUGUCACUUAUAGAUGGAUCCGCGCUGCAUUAGCUAGUUGGUAAGGUAACGGCUUACCAAGGCAACGAUGCAUAGCCGACCUGAGAGGGUGAUCGGCCACACUGGAACUGAGACACGGUCCAGACUCCUACGGGAGGCAGCAGUAGGGAAUCUUCCGCAAUGGGCGAAAGCCUGACGGAGCAACGCCGCGUGAGUGAUGAAGGUCUUCGGAUCGUAAAACUCUGUUAUUAGGGAAGAACAUAUGUGUAAGUAACUGUGCAUAUCUUGACGGUACCUAAUCAGAAAGCCACGGCUAACUACGUG